rnacentral:piRNA from 1 species
UGAGAAGCCCUUCAGAUUGUGUGAUACUG